rnacentral:lncRNA from 1 species
GGUUCACUAAAUUUAUUUUAAAAAUCAUAAAACGUUUCUUACAAAAGAGCAUUACAUUCUGCACACUGCUCUGAACAGAUACCAGGGACAUGUGGACUAUUGUUACUUUUCCUCCCUGUCCCACCCCCAAGUGUUACAGUGACCACAAAGCAAGGUGUUCACAAUAAUUACAUGGGGGGAAUUUUUUUAAACCACCAACAAUAACAAAAAAUAAAAUCCACUCACUCUGCUGCUGUUUCAAAAUUUCAGUGUUAGUUUUUGCACACCCUUCCCUGGCCCAACCCUGUUUGUAAGGAACUAAAACAUUACAUCUGGUGAACAGCAAAGAUUUCACUACACCUCAAAUGCAGAACACCUGUGAAGCAGAGGCGUGUUGGCUUUUUAAACAGAAGCAGAUAACAAAAAAAAAAAAGACGUAGUUCUUCACUAGUCUUAGAAAAACUUUCCAGAAUACUGCGUCACACUAUAAAAAAGAAAAAAAUAUCUUGCAUUAUACUCCUUCAACAUCUGCACACUGCUUCACACUGUUCUGCAGCAAAUACUGUGCAUUCUGUAUCUGGUCCUGUGUUUCUCUAAUGGUAAUGAUCCAAUCUUCCAAUCCUUCUAAAGGCUCAUCAAUUUUGAUCGAAGCUCCCGACUCAUGACGGAUUUGUUUAAUCUGCAGACCACCUUUGCCAAUAAUAGAUCCAGCCAAAUCUUUGGGAAUCGUUACUUGUGUAGUAAUAAUAAGUCCACCAAGAUUACCAUAUGAGCCACGACCCCCUGCAUAGGAAUAAUCAUAUCUGGAGCCACCCUGUGGUUCAUAAGCCAUCUGCCAUUCUGAUGGGCUCCAUGUAUCUAUUGCAGAGUCCCAAGUUUCAUCAGCACUGAAACCAACCAUGCCAUGGUAACAGUCUCCAGGUCUCCCUCUUCUGUCAUAGGCCAUGAGGUCUCCCCCUCUAGGUGGUGGUGGAGGAGGAAGAGGAAGAUUCCGAGCUCUGCUACCACCCUCACCACCUUGUCCUGGAGGAGGUGGAGGUGGUCCUUGACGAGGGCUCAUAUCAUCAUAAUCUCUUCUAGAUGGAGGCAUGGGACGCCCACCCUGACCAGGAGGCAUUCUGUCAAAACCACCUCUUCCCCGCAUGGGAAAUCCCACUGGGCGUCCACAGCGGUCAUCAAACAUAAUUGUAAAACCACCAUAAUCAUAGGUUUCAUCAUAAAAAUUGGGAUCAUAAGGCUGUGCACGUCCUUUGAUGGGAGACUCAUAUAUAAGAUCAAGGAUGAUCUUUAUGCACUCUACAACCCUAUCGGGUUUUCCUCCAAUAAGAACAACUCUUGUCAGUGGAAUAAGGACAGCAUUCCUGGAAAAGCUUGAUGGUGGUUUGAGUGUUCUCUCGAAGUUCUUUGAUUUUAGCACCUUCGACCCCAAUAAUUCCUCCUGCUAGACUCUGAUGAAUCAACAGCCUCAACUCGCAGUCAAAGUCACUUCCUUUAUAGUGUUGGCCCUCUUCCAAGGUAGGGAUGAUUUUCUUCAGAAUUUCUCCAAUUGUGUCAAUACCAGCACUGAUACUCAAUAUGUGCUCGGGGCCACUGCUGUCUGGGACUGAAACACUGGCAUUGUAGUCUGUACGGAGAGCCUUGAUAUUCUUGCCUCCUUUUCCAAUCACUGCCCCAGCAUUCUUGGUCUGAAGCAGAAUGCGUAAUUCAACCAUCUCAUCAGUGUUUCUAGAUCUUUUAAAUGCUUGUUACUCUUCCAUAUCUUCUGCAGGGUGUUUACCAAAUUCACCAUUGGUUUCAGUGUUCGGGAAGGUUUCUUCCGGCUGUUCAGUUUACAUAUUCUUUUAUUAAAUGGGCACACCAAUCAGUUAUUAUAUAUCCUUGCAGAGCAGAACUGAAGCGUUCUGGGUGGGACCAACAACUGACACCCCAGUGCUGCAGUAGCCUAUAGUCAGUGAACAAGUGGGCCACAGGCAAGGCGUCGAGGUCGGUGCAGCAGAGAAACAGAGGAUAAUGGCGUCUGC